rnacentral:other from 1 species
GCAACGGUGAGCGAGGCCAAGUUUUUAGCCCUCAGGCAUUUGACCGAUCACAUCGUUGCGAUGUUGUGUUUGCAUAUUGUCCGGUUUAUGCCGGAUCGGUAGUCAAUCUACCAAUUUUACUUCCUGUAUUUUUGACCUGUCUGUCAAAAAAAUUCUUGGCACUGCGCCCCAACGCAGUGCUUUUUUUU